AGCUGACCAAACUAGUUUAGAUGCAUCGUGUAGGGCAACGUAACGUAGGGCUGCACACGCUGGCCCUUCCAGUGUGAGAUCAGUUCUGCCUUAAAAGAGAUCGCGGCCCCUCCCUCUUCCAGAAGGAAGGCUUACUGAGGCUCUUCUUGGCAGUCUGGCUUCCUGUGUGGCUGUCGAUUUCUGCUUCUUCACACCGUUGGCUUGCUUGUGAUGGAAUCUUGGUGCCGUCCCCCUCAACGUGAUGGCCCCGGCGCCUAGUGACAUCAGCCCCAUCAUUUCUGUGCGGUGUCUGUCAUAGUUCCAGACACGCGGACUGGGUCUUCCUGGGUUAGAUGUCCAGCUCUGGUCAAAACAAGGGCAGGGUCCCUGGAUCCACAUAGCUGCUGGGACACCCCGUCCUUCAUCUGGGCUGGGCUGGGCUGGGGCUUGAAACAUGCCGGCAAUGAAAAAUUUUCUUGGGAAGCCUUUGGUCUUUCAAACCCUUUUUAAUAAUGAAAAUAAAAAUAAUGAGGAACUUUUGA